UUGCAUAUCCAAAAGCGGAGGAAAAGAAACCAACAGGGAUUGCCCUAGUAACGGCGAGUGAAGCGGCAACAGCUCAAAUUUGAAAGCUAGCCUUCGGGUUCGCAUUGUAAUUUGUAGAGGAUGAUUUGGGGAAGCCGCCUGUCUAAGUUCCUUGGAACAGGACGUCAUAGAGGGUGAGAAUCCCGUAUGUGACAGGAAAUGGCACCCUAUGUAAAUCUCCUUCGACGAGUCGAGUUGUUUGGGAAUGCAGCUCUAAAUGGGAGGUAAAUUUCUUCUAAAGCUAAAUAUUGGCGAGAGACCGAUAGCGCACAAGUAGAGUGAUCGAAAGAUGAAAAGCACUUUGGAAAGAGAGUUAAAAAGCACGUGAAAUUGUUGAAAGGGAAGCGCUUGCAAUCAGACUUGUUUAAACUGUUCGGCCGGUCUUCUGACCGGUUUACUCAGUUUGGACAGGCCAGCAUCAGUUUCGGCGGCCGGAUAAAGGCUCUGGGAAUGUGGCCUCCACUUCGGUGGAGGUGUUAUAGCCCAGGGUGUAAUACGGCCAGCCGGGACUGAGGUCCGCGCUUCGGCUAGGAUGCUGGCGUACCCAUAUGUGGGUA
rnacentral:rRNA from 1 species